GCCUGGCGUCAUUCCUGUUUUAAACAUCGUGGGAGGAAUAACAUUUUAGAUCUUUGCACACAUGCUCAUUGGGAAAAGGGUCUCAUCAAUCUCCGGUUUUAAUCCUUUUUUUGUUUUUUUCUUUUUUUUCUUUUUUCCGGAGCUAGGGACCGUACCCAGGGCCUUGCGUUUGCUAGGCAAGCGCUCUACCACUGAGCUAAAUCCCCAACCCCUCCAGCUUUAAUCCUUGUGUCUUCUAAUGGUGGUUCUGUAGAGUGUCAUUGGGCAUACCUACUGGUAUGUAACAUAGGAGAACUGUAGACACUUCUUGCAUGUGCUGGCUUGACCUGUGUAUUUAUUUCAUGCUCUAAACCGUGUCGUUUUGGCAGGCAUUCCACUCAGCAUGAUGCAGUUGCCAUACAGCCUUUAUACGAAAAUGGCACCUCUUGCUCCCAAAGGGCAGUUCUUGUUGCUGAAUCCACCCAACCGAUACGACUCAGCAGUAUUAUUCUCG
rnacentral:lncRNA from 1 species